CAGUAGCCGCGGUAAUACGUAGGGUGCGAGCGUUAAUCAGAAUUACUGGGCGUAAAGCGUGCGCAGGCGGUUGUGUAAGACAGGUGUGAAAUCCCCGGGCUUAACCUGGGAACUGCGCUUGUGACUGCACAGCUAGAGUAUGGCAGAGGGGGGUGGAAUUCCACGUGUAGCAGUGGAAUGCGUAGAGAUGUGGAGGAACACCGAUGGCGAAGGCAGCCCCCUGGGCCAAUACUGACGCUCAUGCACGAAAGCGUGGGGAGCAAACAGGAUUAGAUACCCGUGUAGUCCCUGUCUCUUAUAC
rnacentral:rRNA from 1 species